GACGAACGCUGGCGGCGUGCUUAACACAUGCAAGUCGAACGGUAAGGCCCUUCGGGGUACACGAGUGGCGAACGGGUGAGUAACACGUGGGUGAUCUGCCCUGCACUUCGGGAUAAGCCUGGGAAACUGGGUCUAAUACCGGAUAGGACCAUUGCCUGCAUGGGUGGUGGUGGAAAGCUUUUGCGGUGUGGGAUGGGCCCGCGGCCUAUCAGCUUGUUGGUGGGGUGAUGGCCUACCAAGGCGACGACGGGUAGCCGGCCUGAGAGGGUGACCGGCCACACUGGGACUGAGAUACGGCCCAGACUCCUACGGGAGGCAGCAGUGGGGAAUAUUGCACAAUGGGCGCGAGCCUGAUGCAGCGACGCCGCGUGAGGGAUGACGGCCUUCGGGUUGUAAACCUCUUUCAGCACCGACGAAGCGCAAGUGACGGUAGGUGCAGAAGAAGGACCGGCCAACUACGUGCCAGCCGCCGCCGUAA
rnacentral:rRNA from 1 species